AUUGAACGCUAGCGGGAUGCUUUACACAUGCAAGUCGAACGGAGUGGCUAACGGGUGAGUACUGUAUCGGAACGUGCCCAGUAGCGGGGGAUAACUACGCGAAGGCGUAGCUAAUAACGCAUGCUAUUGGCGCGGCCGAUAUCGGAUUAGCUAGUUGGUGAGGGAACGGCUCACCAAGGCGACGAUCCGUAGCUGGUUUGAGAGGACGACCAGCCACACUGGGACUGAGACACGGCCCAGACUCCUACGGGAGGCAGCAGUGGGGAAUUUUGGACAAUGGGGGCAACCCUGAUCCAGCCAUCCCGCGUGUGCGAUGAAGGCCUUCGGGUUGUAAAGCACUUUUGGCAGGAAAGCGGUACCUACAGAAUAAGCACCGGCUAACUACGUGCCAGCAGCCGCGGUAAUAC
rnacentral:rRNA from 1 species